rnacentral:rRNA from 1 species
UACGUAGGGGGCAAGCGUUGUCCGGAAUUAUUGGGCGUAAAGAGCGCGUAGGCGGUCCGAUAAGUCGGCUGUGAAAGUCAGGGGCUCAACCCUUGAAAGCCGGCCGAUACUGUCGGACUAGAGUCCGGAAGAGGCAAGUGGAAUUCCCGGUGUAGCGGUGAAAUGCGCAGAUAUCGGGGAGGAACACCAAUGGCGAAGGCAGCUUGCUGGGACGGUACUGACGCUGAGGCGCGAAAGCCAGGGGAGCAAACGGG